UUGAUCUGGAAGAUCAAAGUGAAGUUUGAAUUAGAUUUGCAUCUUUCCCGAAUGAUUUUGGAGGUGUGGGAAUGAUUUCUAGAGAUAAUUGAGAGUUUCAGCGCAAAUUGGUCGCGAAAUGAAUUUAAAGAGAACCUUCGAAUUAUAAGGUUAAUGUUGGCCUAUUUGCUCAAAGUAAGGAAUGAAUGCAAGUUGUGAUGUUCCCGAAUUAAAUGAGUAGCUUGUGGAAGAGUGUUGGUAUGUUUCGGAAGUAAUUGAAGGGAUUCGGAGUUAACUGGACGCGUGAAACGGCUUCGAAGAAUGCUGUUGCCAGGCUGCUGCCAAGUGCAGAAUCUGCACUUGGUUCCGGUACUGGAAGUGGUACCGAUACCAGAACUGAAAACAGGGCAGGGACUACAAUGCAAUUUCGAUUUUUGGAGAGGUUUUGAUGCAUUUUUUUGAGC
rnacentral:lncRNA from 1 species